ACGGAAGGCAGCAGUAGGGAAUAUUGCACAAUGGGGGAAACCCUGAUGCAGCAACGCCACGUGUGGGAAGAAGCAUUUCGGUGUGUAAACCACUGUCGUGAAGGAAUAAUGCUUGGUUUCGGCCAAGUUGAAUGUACUUUGAAAGGAAGCACCGGCAAACUUCGUGCCAGCAGCCGCGGUAAUACGAGGGGUGCAAGCGUUGUUCGGAAUCACUGGGCGUAAAGGGAGCGCAGGCGGAAGUGCAAGCGGUCUGUACAAUACCGGGGCCCAACCCCGGACCUGCAGACCGGACUGCAUUUCUUGGAUAGUUCAGGGGCAAGCGGAAUUCCUGGUGUAGCGGUGGAAUGCGUAGAGAUCAGGAAGAACACCGAUGGCGAAGGCAGCUUGCUGGGGACUUAUCGACGCUCAUGCACGAAAGUGCGGGGAUCGAACAGGAUUAGAUACCCUGGUA
rnacentral:rRNA from 1 species